GCAUAUCAAUAAGCGGAGGAAAAGAAACUAACAAGGAUUCCCCUAGUAACUGCGAGUGAAGCGGGAAAAGCUCAAAUUUAAAAUCUGGCAGUCUUUGGCUGUCCGAGUUGUAGUCUGGAGAAGCGUCUUCCGCGCUGGACCGUGUACAAGUCUCCUGGAACGGAGCGUCAUAGAGGGUGAGAAUCCCGUCUUUGACACGGACUACCAGUGCUUUGUGAUGCGCUCUCAAAGAGUCGAGUUGUUUGGGAAUGCAGCUCAAAAUGGGUGGUAAAUUCCAUCUAAAGCUAAAUAUUGGCGAGAGACCGAUAGCGAACAAGUACCGUGAGGGAAAGAUGAAAAGCACUUUGGAAAGAGAGUUAAACAGUACGUGAAAUUGCUGAAAGGGAAACGCUUGAAGUCAGUCGCGUUUGCUAGAACUCAGCCUGGCUUUUGCUUGGUGCAUUUUCUAGUAAACGGGCCAGCAUCAGUUUCGGCUGCGGGACAAAGGCCAGAGGAAUGUGGCACCUUCGGGUGUGUUAUAGCCUCUGGUCAUAUACCGUGGCUGGGACUGAGGAUCUCAGCACGCCUUUAUGGCGGGGGUUCGCCCACCUUCGUGCUUAGGAUGCUGGCGUAAUGGCUUUAAACGACCCGUCUUGAAACACGGACCAAGGAGUCUAACAUGCCUGCGAGUGUUUGGGUGGAAAACCCGAGCGCGUAAUGAAAGUGAAAGUUGGGACUUCUGUCGUGGAAGGCACCGACGCCCGGACCAGACCUACUGUGACGGAUCCGCGGUAGAGCAUGUAUGUUGGGACCCGAAAGAUGGUGAACUAUGCCUGAAUAGGGUGAAGCCAGAGGAAACUCUGGUGGAGGCUCGUAGCGAUUCUGACGUGCAAAUCGAUCGUCAAAUUUGGGUAUAGGGGGCGAAAGACUAAUCGAACCAUCUAGUAGCUGGGUUCCUGCCCGAAGU
rnacentral:rRNA from 1 species